CACUAUCGUUAACUGAAUACAUAGGUUAACGAGGCGAACCGGGGGAACUGAAACAUCUAAGUACCCCGAGGAAAAGAAAUCAACCGAGAUUCCCCCAGUAGCGGCGAGCGAACGGGGAGCAGCCCAGAGUCUGAAUCAGCUUGUGUGUUAGUGGAACGGUCUGGAAAGUCCGACGGUACAGGGUGAUAGUCCCGUACACCAAAAUGCACAGGCUGUGAACUCGAAGAGUAGGGCGGGACACGUGGUAUCCUGUCUGAAUAUGGGGGGACCAUCCUCCAAGGCUAAAUACUCCUGACUGACCGAUAGUGAACCAGUACCGUGAGGGAAAGGCGAAAAGAACCCCGGCGAGGGGAGUGAAAAAGAACCUGAAACCGUGUACGUACAAGCAGUGGGAGCACCUUCGGGUGUGACUGCGUACCUUUUGUAUAAUGGGUCAGCGACUUAUAUUCUGUAGCAAGGUUAACCGUAUAGGGGAGCCGCAGGGAAACCGAGUCUUAACUGGGCGUUAAGUUGCAGGGUAUAGACCCGAAACCCGGUGAUCUAGCCAUGGGCAGGUUGAAGGUUGGGUAACACUAACUGGAGGACCGAACCGACUAAUGUUGAAAAAUUAGCGGAUGACUUGUGGCUGGGGGUGAAAGGCCAAUCAAACCGGGAGAUAGCUGGUUCUCCCCGAAAGCUAUUUAGGUAGCGCCUCGUGAACUCAUCUUCGGGGGUAGAGCACUGUUUCGGCUAGGGGGUCAUCCCGACUUACCAACCCGAUGCAAACUACGAAUACCGAAGAAUGUUAUCACGGGAGACACACGGCGGGUGCUAACGUCCGUCGUGAAGAGGGAAACAACCCAGACCGCCAGCUAAGGUCCCAAAGUCAUGGUUAAGUGGGAAACGAUGUGGGAAGGCACAGACAGCCAGGAUGUUGGCUUAGAAGCAGCCAUCAUUUAAAGAAAGCGUAAUAGCUCACUGGUCGAGUCGGCCUGCGCGGAAGAUGUAACGGGGCUAAACCAUGCACCGAAGCUGCGGCAGCGACACUAUGUGUUGUUGGGUAGGGGAGCGUUCUGUAAGCCUGCGAAGGUGUGCUGUGAGGCAUGCUGGAGGUAUCAGAAGUGCGAAUGCUGACAUAAGUAACGAUAAAGCGGGUGAAAAGCCCGCUCGCCGGAAGACCAAGGGUUCCUGUCCAACGUUAAUCGGGGCAGGGUGAGUCGACCCCUAAGGCGAGGCCGAAAGGCGUAGUCGAUGGGAAACAGGUUAAUAUUCCUGUACUUGGUGUUACUGCGAAGGGGGGACGGAGAAGGCUAUGUUAGCCGGGCGACGGUUGUCCCGGUUUAAGCAUGUAGGCUGGUUGUCCAGGCAAAUCCGGAUAAUCAAGGCUGAGGUGUGAUGACGAGGCACUACGGUGCUGAAGUAACAAAUGCCCUGCUUCCAGGAAAAGCCUCUAAGCAUCAGGUAACAUCAAAUCGUACCCCAAACCGACACAGGUGGUCAGGUAGAGAAUACCAAGGCGCUUGAGAGAACUCGGGUGAAGGAACUAGGCAAAAUGGUGCCGUAACUUCGGGAGAAGGCACGCUGGUGUGUAGGUGAAGUCCCUGCGGAUGGAGCUGAGACCAGUCGAAGAUACCAGCUGGCUGCAACUGUUUAUUAAAAACACAGCACUGUGCAAACACGAAAGUGGACGUAUACGGUGUGACGCCUGCCCGGUGCCGGAAGGUUAAUUGAUGGGGUUAUCCGUAAGGAGAAGCUCUUGAUCGAAGCCCCGGUAAACGGCGGCCGUAACUAUAACGGUCCUAAGGUAGCGAAAUUCCUUGUCGGGUAAGUUCCGACCUGCACGAAUGGCGUAAUGAUGGCCAGGCUGUCUCCACCCGAGACUCAGUGAAAUUGAACUCGCUGUGAAGAUGCAGUGUACCCGCGGCAAGACGGAAAGACCCCGUGAACCUUUACUAUAGCUUGACACUGAACAUUGAGCCUUGAUGUGUAGGAUAGGUGGGAGGCUUUGAAGCGUGGACGCCAGUCUGCGUGGAGCCAACCUUGAAAUACCACCCUUUAAUGUUUGAUGUUCUAACGUUGGCCCCUGACCGGGGUUGCGGACAGUGUCUGGUGGGUAGUUUGACUGGGGCGGUCUCCUCCCAAAGCGUAACGGAGGAGCACGAAGGUUAGCUAAUCCUGGUCGGACAUCAGGAGGUUAGUGCAAUGGCAUAAGCUAGCUUGACUGCGAGCGUGACGGCGCGAGCAGGUGCGAAAGCAGGUCAUAGUGAUCCGGUGGUUCUGAAUGGAAGGGCCAUCGCUCAACGGAUAAAAGGUACUCCGGGGAUAACAGGCUGAUACCGCCCAAGAGUUCAUAUCGACGGCGGUGUUUGGCACCUCGAUGUCGGCUCAUCACAUCCUGGGGCUGAAGUAGGUCCCAAGGGUAUGGCUGUUCGCCAUUUAAAGUGGUACGCGAGCUGGGUUUAGAACGUCGUGAGACAGUUCGGUCCCUAUCUGCCGUGGGCGCUGGAGAAUUGAGGGGGGCUGCUCCUAGUACGAGAGGACCGGAGUGGACGCAUCACUGGUGUUCGGGUUGUCAUGCCAAUGGCACUGCCCGGUAGCUAAAUGCGGAAGAGAUAAGUGCUGAAAGCAUCUAAGCACGAAACUUGCCCCGAGAUGAGUUCUCCCUGAGACUUUAAGUCUCCUGAAGGAACGUUAAAGACGAUGACGUUGAUAGG
rnacentral:rRNA from 1 species